rnacentral:lncRNA from 1 species
ACCCUACGAGACGCCUCGCCAGGUGCCGGGGACGUCUCCCGACGUGCCAGUUCUUCCUGUUUGUGCCAGAGACGUCUCUGGGACAAACCGGAGACGUCUCGGCUGUCCCUGAUCUGUUUUCUUCAACUUAAAAAAUUCUUCAAUAAAUUCAUAAAAAUUAUGGGAACUUGCCUAGACAUUUCUUAACAAUAUUCUUAAUUAAACACCUGAAAUUCUCAAAUAAAUUGUUAAGAUAAAUGGCAUUAUACUCUAGUGUUUUGUAUUCAUCAAAAUCCAUUAGGGGGUCAACAAUCUCCCCCUUUUUGAUGAUGACAAAACACUGAGUAUAUGCAAAAUUCGAAAUUUAAACAUAUACACAGUAUUUGAUCAGAUGUACAAGUAUAAUGUUUUGAUUUGAGCUAGAUAUAGCGUGCAUAAUUCAAAAUAGUCAACUUUCAGUUCUAUCCUUAUGCAUAAGAUUGAUCUUAAUAGCUCUUAAGCAAUUUUAGCAUAUCAACUGAAUUUGAAUCAAGUUAAAAUUUAAAUUAAUGAAAUAUUGAUGCUAAAGACAAUUGAAGGCUAAGUUCUUUUUGACUCCCCCUUUCUUUUCCAGAAGGGCAAUUGUCUUAAGGCCAAUAUU